GGAAGUAAAAGUCGAACAAGGUCUCCGUAGGUGAACCUGCGGAGGGAUCAUUACAGAGUUUUUGCCCGCAAGGGUAGAUCUCCCACCCUAUGUUAUUCCUUCUCUGUUGCUUUGGCGGGCCGUCCGGCCUCGGUCAGGCCACCGGCUCCGGCUGGUGCGCGCCCGCCAGAGGACCCCAAACCCUAAAUGUCAGUGUCGUCUGAGUACUAUAUAAUAGUUAAAACUUUCAACAACGGAUCUCUUGGUUCUG
rnacentral:misc_RNA from 1 species